GGUCACAGACAUGGCUCAGAUCCCACGUUGCUGUGGCUCUGGUGUAGGCCAACGGCUAUAGCUCUGAUUGGAUCCCUAGCCUGGGAACCUCCAUAUGCCACAGGAGUGGCCCUAGAAAAGAAAAAAAAAAAAAAGAAAGAAAGAAAAAGAAAAAAAGAAUUCAUAUGUUUUCCAUUAAUUCCUUAAAAACUUGUAAAACCUUAGUUAAAUUUUAAAUAAAAUAUCUAACUUCUUUAUUACUAUUAUCUUCUGAAAAACCUUAUUAGAGAUAGAAAUUGUACUUGCCUUCAAAUGAGUUUCCAAAUCACCAUAUAUUAUAUGUUAUAUGGACAGUUUUACAAAGUCUUGCUUCUCCUUUCUAGACGCUUAUGAUCUAUGGCAAUAUUUCUCAAACCUUAAAGUACAUAAAAAUCACUAAGCAUUUUGUUAAAAAUGAUAAUUAUAGUUUAAUAGAUCUGACUGGAACAUGAGAUUGAAUUUCUAACAAUCCCCUAGGUCACAGUGAUACUGCUGGUCCACCAAUCACACUUGGAAUUACAAGGGAGUCUAACGUAUGGCAAUGCCACCCAAUAAACACAUGCUUAUAAACUCAGGUGGAAGGCUAAAUGAUAUUUGCAUUAGUAAAUAUAUGAAUAAUCGCAUAUGCAGUAUGUGAUAAUAUAAUAAUGACUUGACAGCCAAGUGGUGUGUGUGUGUGAUUGUGUAUAGAAGCAUUAAAUCUGAAUCCUUCAUUUUUUAAGUGAGAAAAUUGAGAUCCAGAGAGUUUUGUGGAUUUACCCAGCAUUAUUGGUAUAAAACCACAGAGAUGAUACUUGUGUCCAGACCUCCAACUCUAAUGUCAGGGAAGAUUUCCUAAUCUUUGACAUAUAGGAAAAUCAGUAAUAUGACUAGUUGUAGCAGAUAACAGGAGGGAACCAUACAGUCGGAUUAAGGAGUACAAAGAGAUCUAGAGUGAAAAGAUGCUGAUCUGAAACAGGAAUAAUAUGAAGCAGUUGCAAUGUAGUUGUUAGUAAUUUAUUUUCUGAUUUAAGUUAUGUUCCUGCGACUUGUUGCUUAGAAGUGGUCAGAGAAGUUAGGGAAAAAGCUAAGUGCUAGAAAACAAAGAGAGCUAAGUUCUAGCCUCAACUUGAGCAGUAUUUUACUGUUAGAAGCUUGGACAAGUUACUUCAAUUUCUCAAAGCACUUUGUAUAUUUUUUCCAUCUGUAAAAAGAAGAUAAAAAUCAUUGCCCUUCUUAGGCCAUGCUGUUGUUGUGAAGCAAUAGAUGUAGAACAAAUGUGCAACAUUAACAGCGCUCUGCAACUGUAUCAUUGUGUUUACCAUUAUUAUGAAUAUUUAUGAAUAGCGUCCUGUCAACUAUCAUCACUGAGGACAGGGGAUUUUGCCAUCAACUUAUUUCUCUCUUUUCUGAAGCUACUUGUUCCUCUCUUUUCUGAAACUGUUCCCAGCCGGUUUCGGUGGCCAUCUGAGCUCAAGUUCUUAUCCGCCAGAGACAAUUAGACAGAUUCAGAAAAUACAAAUGUUUGCUUUGUGUCCAGGUGCAGGUUGCUUCCUCACUGGGACAUGUGGAGUGCUAUUGAGUUCUAAAGAAACUAUCAGUAUCAUGGAGUGCUGCGCUUAGGCUCCUUCUCUUCCUGUUCUUCUUGGGUUUUUUUUUUUGCUUCAUCUCAGUAUUUAUUCUAAUUUGCUUUUUGUAUGGCUCCUGAUGUCUCCUUCCCCUUUUUUUUGUGUACCUCUUUGUCUAAUCUGAUAACACUAUUAUCACUUACCUGCACGUAUGUCAGCAGGCUAUAUUUAUUCUGUUAAAAAAUCAGAAUGGAAUGAACUAUAUAAAGCUGCAAGUUUCAGCUUUCAUUGUUAAAAAUAGGAGUCAAAUCAAUAGGGCUGCUAAAAAGUAUGGCUGAAGUCUUAUGUUAAACUGAGCAGAUGUUUUACAAUUGCAACCCUAUUUAAUGAUAGAUUCUUUGCAGCCAUGUUGCCCCAUAGUUAAUUUGCAUUCAGUGCUACAAUGGUUUAUUACCUACAAAUAUAACUCUGUUUUUUUAGCAUUUUGAAUACCAUACAUAAAGCCAUUGUAGCACUCAUGUAAUGCUAUUGUAACCACAAUAUCAUUAUCAACACAAUCUAUUUAAAUAUGUCAAUAUAGUAACAGCUGGAAAUUGGUGGAGUACCAGCAUCUAGGAUUAAACUCUGGCCAAACAGUGACCUGACCUGAAGGUUGAUUGUUCUAAAAUUAAUAGCAGUAUAACUCAAAAUAAAUAUUUUGGACCACUCAAGUUUUGCAACAUGAAAUUUGUGUUUGCUCUUCAUUAUGCUUCUGAAUAUGCCAUUUAAAUUAGUAUUAUACUAUUUUUCCUAGAUGGGCAAUUAGGAAUCUUGAAAGUUCUAAGAAAAAUCCAACAAAGAUGUUCUUUUGCUGCCGUGUUCCUGAAAAGUCAACGUCUCAAUUUUUGCGCACACUGUAAUGGUAUGAAAACCUGUUGCUAUCUUUGAAUAUAUUGUUGAUAUAUUAAAGGAGAUAUUUCCUUAUCACCUCCAUUUUUUUUUUUUUGGUAAUUUUAUGGCUGCACUCGUAACAUAUGGAAAUUCCUGGGCCAAGAACUGAGUCCGAGCCAGAGUUGCAACCCACUCCACAGCUGCAGCAAUACCAGAUCUUUAACCCACUGCACCAGGCCAGGAAUCAAACCCACACCUCUGCAGAGACCCAAGCUGCUACAGUCAGAUUCUUAACCCAUUGCACCACAGAAGGAACUCCUCAUCACCUUCUAUUAAGGUUUAUUCUUCAUAUAAUAAUACCCUUGGACCUGACUGUAAUAGUAAUAAAUUACUUACACUGUAUAGUCACAUAAGUACACUCAGUGCAUUAGAGAAAGCCAACAGUUGCAAAGUAGAAGCGCAUUACCAUGCUUAGUAAUCUUUGAGACACAGCUACAUUCAACCAAGAUCUUAGCAAAAAUGCAGAAAGUAACAAAAAUGUUCUCAGAAAAAAAGAUGUGUCCAAGCAUGUUUGGAGUAAUUUGGAUCUGUUUUCAUGGAAGGUUCAUGUUUCCAAAUCCUUUGUUUGCUCCCAUCCUGAAAGUUUGAACAAACAUUUAUUGCUCUUUAAAUGUCUAGAGUUUAACAGAAUGAACUUCUCUCACUUUACUGUCUAAGGCACCAUGCUGACUGCCAAGCACUCACCCGCAAGGACACCUAAAAUAUGCACACACUAGCAUCUGGGCGAGAUUUAGCAAUCCCCAUGGUGACACAUCACAAAUGCUAGUGAAAGAAGAAAUGCUCACUUUUGUGGGUUCCAAGCAUCUACUCCAGUCUAAACACAGGCUGUUUCCUUUAAACCACCCUCAACAACCUCCCCACAACUGCUUCUGGCCACAAAACAGCCGCCACUUGCAGGAUGGGGAGAGCAAAAAUGGAAACAAUCUGUUUUUGCAAGCACUUUUCCAGCGAACUUCUGCUUUGAGACCUUAAUGCCACCAUCCAAGUAUCAGCUGCCGUGGCUGUCUCUGGACUUGGAGGUGGGGGAUGCAUUGAUCUUUAUUUGAACAACAGAACUGCAGAAACUUAAAUCCCAGUCCCUCGAAUUGAGCCACUGCUUGAAUUAAAGUCAGAGUAUGCAGUCAAUUUUUAAAUUACAGAAACACAGGGUCUGUUACAUUCAACUCACUUUCUUUCAAGAGGGCCUGUUACCUUUAGCUUUAAAGUGUUUUAAGUUAAAAAAGAAACACCAGGAGUUGCAGACGNAUAAUUAAGGUGAUUCUAGAUUAGACUUCUUCGAAGCAUGUGCCAGAUGAUUUUAUAGGCCACACUUAGCAGAUGAACAGUCUUUUCAUCUUAACUCAUUCUGUACUGGAAGGCAGCAAUUUUAAAGAAAGAAAAAAAAAAUGAUUUGACGCAAGAGUUUAUUUAAGGAUACAUUUGAUAGGUGGAUCAUUGAUGCAGAUAAUAAAAAACAAUGAAUUUUCACAAAGAAAAAUAAAACACUGUUUGUAUUACAUUAUUGCCAAUUUUCCCUCUUAGUUAUAUUUGUUUUAGUGAGUUGAUUGAAACCUGAAAGGUAGUAUUCUUGUAAAUAAAACAAGUGCAUCUUUUUAAAUAGUAAAAUCCAGCACUUUAUUUCCCAUAUUUAAUAUGACCUUUCACAGAUUACAUGUUUAUCUGACAUGCUUGGUUUUCUGCAUUCUGUAUCAUCAUGUCAGGGUUAGCAGUAAUUGAAUAAUAUAUGUCCUCAGUGGUGGGCAAAUACAAGCUGGUUGUUUCUGAGAACUGCCAAAUAUAAUGCAUCUUAUCUUUGCUCAAGCCUUAUGGAAUUAAUAUUCAAUUAGUUUAGAAGAUUUGAUGCAAAAAAAUAUAAAUCCUGUCCAAGCUCUAUUUGUCUAAAUUUAGGGUUUUUUUGAAUGCCAUUUUGUAUGUGCAUAAUGUAAAAUACCAUGUUUAUUAAGUCUGUUAAUUAAUUUCAGCAUAGUAAUAAUUCAGCUCAAUUUGUGUAUAAUGGAGCUCUGUAUUGCCAUCAUCAUUCUUUUUCUUUUUGGGCCACAUGAUCCUUAACCUGCUGUGCCACCAGGGAACUCCCAUUAUCAUUUUUUAAAUGUCAGAAAAAGAACUAGAACUGCUAGGCUCACUGCGAUGGGGUCAGUAUGUACCUGGGUUUACCUCUGCCACUCUCCUCUAACCCCUAGUGUCCUUCAACACCACUCUAUCCCCAAUUCUUGGUUUCCAAGUAUACGGGAGUUCCAGUGUCAUUUUAAAAAUAAGAAACAAGAUCUGUUCCUUCAGGAGUUUAUAAUGUAACUGAGAGUCAACACAUCAUUAUAUAGCAGAGAACAUGAGUUAAAAAGGAUAAUGUGCUGUAAGUCAUGCAUAAGAGUGAAAGGUGUGAGAAGUAAGCCUGACAGUGGAUCAGGAAACCUUCCUGAAAGAGAGUCUACUACAGAGAAGUGAGAAAUGUAUGUGAGUUAAUGGAGGGGAGUGGAAGAGGGCUUUUGGUGUCUAUGAUUCAGUCAACGAAUCAGAGACAAAAUAUCGUGGCAGUUGACUACAAACUCGAAAUCGAUCACCCUUUAAUUUACAUAGCAUGUUAUAAUUUACAGAGUACUUUUACCUACAUUAUCUCAUUUGUUUUUCACCAGGAUUGCAUGAUAUUAAAAGGGGGGAGUGUUAGUAAUAAACCCCACAAGGUAAAUAAAGGGUUUGUGGAAUAUAGAAGUUUGGGGCCAACCUUGAGUUUCUACGGUAAAAAAAAAAUGUGACAGGGCUAGAAUCAAAUAAUCAAAUAUUUGGUCAUCUAACUCAGCAUUCUCUCCAGCAGGGUGCAUGCCCACCCUCUCAGUUUGCCAAAAUCUCUUCCAGAUUUUCAGAGGAGGUUCUUUCCUUCUUGGUCAGACCCUUUUAUCAGGGACCCAUGAAAGCAUUGUUCAGGGUCCACACAGAGGUGUAUGCCACUAAAAAAAAAAAAAAAAAAAAAAAAAAAAAAAAAAAAA
rnacentral:lncRNA from 1 species